rnacentral:rRNA from 1 species
GACGAACGCUGGCGGCGCGCCUAACACAUGCAAGUCGAGCGGAGUUUUUAAGUGGAAGCUUUCGGGUGGAAAUUUUGAAACUUAGCGGCGGACGGGUGAGUAACACGUGAGCAACCUGCCUUUCAGAGGGGGAUAACGUUUGGAAACGAACGCUAAUACCGCAUAACAACACUAGACGCAUGUCUAGAGUUUGAAAGAUGGUUCUGCUAUCACUCUUGGAUGGACCUGCGGUGCAUUAGCUAGUUGGUAAGGUAACGGCUUACCAAGGCAAUGAUGCAUAGCCGAGUUGAGAGACUGAUCGGCCACAUUGGGACUGAGACACGGCCCAA